rnacentral:rRNA from 1 species
UCAAUAAGCGGAGGAAAAGAAACUAACAAGGAUUGCCCUAGUAACGGCGAGUGAAGCGGGAAGAGCUCAAAUUUGUAAUCUGGCACCUUCGGUGUCCGAGUUGUAAUCUCGAGAAGUGUUUUCCGCGCCGGACCGCAUACAAGUCUGUUGGAAUACAGCGUCAUAGUGGUGAGAACCCCGUAACUGAUGCGGAUGCCCGGUGCUUUGUGAUACACUUUCGAAGAGUCGAGUUGUUUGGGAAUGCAGCUCAAAUUGGGUGGUAAAUUCCAUCUAAAGCUAAAUAUUGGCGAGAGACCGAUAGCGAACAAGUACCGUGAGGGAAAGAUGAAAAGCACUUUGGAAAGAGAGUUAACAGUACGUGAAAUUGUUGGAAGGGAAACGCUUGAAGUCAGACUUGCUAUUUGGAAUUCAGCCGCAAGGUGUACUUUUCAAUUCGCAGGCCAGCAUCAGUUUUCGGGGGUGGAAAAGGGUAGAGAGAAGGUAGCAAUUUCGGUUGUGUUAUAGCUCUUUGCUGGAUUCAUCCUUGGGGACUGAGGAACGCAGCACGCUUUUUGCAAGGCUUUCGAGCUUUUCGUGCUUAGGAUGCUGGUGGAAUGGCUUUAAACGACCCGUCUUGAAACACG